rnacentral:misc_RNA from 1 species
CACCAAUCAAGCCUGGCUUGGUAUUGGGCGUCGCGGGGUCCCCGCGCGCCUUAAAGUCUCUCCGGCUGAGCGGUCCGUCUCUAAGCGUUGUGGCAACUAUUCGCGACGGGACGGGCGGCGCGGCCGUUAAAUCUUCACCUAA